rfam:Afipia broomeae ATCC 49717 genomic scaffold supercont1.1, whole genome shotgun sequence.
GCCCAAUUUCGCACGUGCCUGUGGUCGUGUGUCAGUCGGUAGGUAUCCGGACAAGAGGCCGGACAGCCGCCAAGGGACGAAGAAGCCGAGGGUCGCUUAGCUCAGACUAAGAGGCCAGCAUCUCUCUCCAGAGAUGCCGUUGAAGGUGACUUUGCUCCUUGCAACCGUGACUGGCAGCCGGAGGCGAACCGGCGCACCCCGCUCUCAACGGGGGACGCGACUUAAAGCAACGACGGAUCGGGCUUUU